UUUUACUGUAAUCUAAGUUUUUUGAAUAUUAAGUUGCAAACUUAAAGGUAAAGC
rnacentral:tRNA from 1 species